rnacentral:tRNA from 1 species
UUAGAAACAGUAUUAUAGAAUAUAUCAACUUUGGGAGUUGGAGAUUGGAUUGGACCAUUUCUAAA